UUUUAAUUGAUUCUUGUUUUGCUUGGUCUUAAAAUUCAGUUUCCCUUCAAUUAGUUGAGCAUAAUGAGUUGAUUAUGCAGAAAGUUUAGGCUAAUGUUCCAAUAUUGGAUGAAUUUACAAAUUAGGGUUUGAUAUUUGUGGUUUUCUAGUUCAAUUGUUAGUUUAUAAUUGAUUCUUUUUUGUUUUUGUUCUGGCCGGGGAUGGGGAUUGGGUGGAUGGGGUCUUCUUUUAUUACUGCUUUUUUUGUAUGAUGAGAUGAUGGUAGUUGUGGGAUUGACUUAUCUUACUUUCAUUGGCCAACUCGGUUGGGUUCUUGAUACUAUCGUCUCCCUUUGGGUAACACUCCUCAAACUACUCUACUUGUUUCAAUCUUCUAUUUCAAACUUUGUUUGUCCAUUAUUUUGGGUUUAGGAUUGUUGUUUUGAUGUUAAUCUGUCUGAUGAGUAUUUGAUAGUUUGUGUCAGCGAGUUAGCGGUUUUGUUGUUCGUUUGCGUGAGAUUGAUCAUUAUCGGAUAUGAAUUUCACUUGCGUGACCCGCGUUGACAAACAAAGUCAUUCUUAGUGGUUAUGAACUUAUGUGCUUGUAUAUGUUCAGAAUAAGGUGAUCAUUGACUAGAACUGAUGCUGCCAGGAAAGUUUUGUAAUCCUACCAGUCUAGAGUAUAUUAGAUUUCAUACAGAAAAGAGAAGGUUUUGACUUUUCAUUGAUUUUGUUCCUUAACCACUUAUGUACACUUUAAGAUGGUUGUUAUGGUCCAUUCGGGAUAUUAGGUAUGCUGUAUUGCUGGAUUGAGGUUGAUUGCAUGUGCAACACAGUUAUCCUUUUUAAGGCACUAAACUAAAGUUAUGUGCCUUGCUAUAUGCAGUUUUUGGCUAUGAGCCUCAUUCGGUGUUGCCAAUUGGUGUUGUUUCUCUUGCUGAUCUUACAGUUUUUCUUCCUUUCUCGAAAAUUAACGUCUUUGCUAGUACUGUUGUUACAGUUGUAUCAUAGUGCCUGGUGGAGUACAAGAGACGUUCCAUAUGGAGCAUGGCUCUGAGCUUGUUUUGAGUACUGGAAGCGGUGUUAAUGGUUUCACUCUAGAUCCAUCUCUUGGAGUGUAUAUUUUAACUCAUCCAGACAUCAAGGGAUCGAGUCGAUUGGAAGAAAGUCAACACGGCCUUAAUUAAGGUUUGUAAUGCAUGAUCUAAAGGGAGCUAAGUGGCCAGAUUAGAGAAAUUUGUUAGACUAGCUCUCUAGCCUUUUGUCUUUAUUUGUUAAUAUUAGUUUUAAUUUGUUAGACUAGCUAGCUAGGUGUUUAAAAAUUGUAAACGUACGUACUAUACGCUUUUCUCUAUUGGGUUAAUAUAAAUGAAGUUAAUUUAAUGAUUUAUUAAUAAAAAAUAA